rnacentral:rRNA from 1 species
GCUCAGGACGAACGCUGGCGGUGUGCCUAAUACAUGCAAGUAGAACGCUGAAGAGAGGAGCUUGCUCUUCUUGGAUGAGUUGCGAACGGGUGAGUAACGCGUAGGUAACCUGCCUGGUAGCGGGGGAUAACUAUUGGAAACGAUAGCUAAUACCGCAUAAAAUUGAUUAUUGCAUGAUAAUUAAUUGAAAGAUGCAAUUGCAUCACUACCAGAUGGACCUGCGUUGUAUUAGCUAGUUGGUGAGGUAACGGCUCACCAAGGCGACGAUACAUAGCCGACCUGAGAGGGUGAUCGGCCACACUGGGACUGAGACACGGCCCAGACUCCUACGGGAGGCAGCAGUAGGGAAUCUUCGGCAAUGGGGGGAACCCUGACCGAGCAACGCCGCGUGAGUGAAGAAGGUUUUCGGAUCGUAAAGCUCUGUUGUAAGAGAAGAACGGGUGUGAGAGUGGAAAGUUCACACUGUGACGGUAUCUUACCAGAAAGGGACGGCUAACUACGUGCCAGCAGCCGCGGUAAUACGUAGGUCCCGAGCGUUGUCCGGAUUUAUUGGGCGUAAAGCGAGCGCAGGCGGUUAGAUAAGUCUGAAGUUAAAGGCUGUGGCUUAACCAUAGUAUGCUUUGGAAACUGUUUAACUUGAGUGCAGAAGGGGAGAGUGGAAUUCCAUGUGUAGCGGUGAAAUGCGUAGAUAUAUGGAGGAACACCGGUGGCGAAAGCGGCUCUCUGGUCUGUAACUGACGCUGAGGCUCGAAAGCGUGGGGAGCAAACAGGAUUAG